AGAGUUGUGGCUCAGUGGCAGAGUAUCUGCUUUGCACACAGAAGACCCCAGGUUCAAUCCCUGGCAUCUCUG